rnacentral:tRNA from 3 species
GGGCGAUUAGCUCAGCGGUAGUAGCGCUUCCUUCACACGGAAGAGGUCACUGGUUCGAACCCAGUAUCGCCCACCA